AUUGAACGCUGGCGGCAGGCCUAACACAUGCAAGUCGAGCGAGGGGCGGAAGGGUGAGAAAUGCCUGGGAAUUCCCCAGUCGAGGGGGAUAACAGUUGGAAACGACUGAUACUACCGCAUAGGAGGGGGAGGCCCAGGUGGGAGUAGCUAGUUGGUGGGGUAAUGGCUCAACAAGGGGACGGACCCGAGGUGGUCUGAGAGGAUGAUCAGCCUGACUGGAACUGAUGCACGGUCCAGACGCCUACGGGAGGUAGCAGUGGGGAAUAUUGCACAAUGGGGGAAACCCGGAUGCAGCCAUGCCGCGUGUGUGAAGAAGGCCUUCGGGUUGUAAAGCACUUUCAGCGAGGAGGCGGUACGCGCAGAAGAAGCACCGGCUAACUCCGUGCCAGCAGCCGCGGUAAUAC
rnacentral:rRNA from 1 species